GAUGAACGCUGGCGGCGUGCCUAAUACAUGCAAGUCGAGCGAACGGACGAGAAGCUUGCUUCUCUGAUGUUAGCGGCGGACGGGUGAGUAACACGUGGAUAACCUACCUAUAAGACUGGGAUAACUUCGGGAAACCGGAGCUAAUACCGGAUAAUAUUUUGAACCGCAUGGUUCAAAAGUGAAAGACGGUCUUGCUGUCCCUUAUAGAUGGAUCCGCGUUGCAUUAGCUAGUUGGUAAGGUAACGGCUUACCAAGGCAACGAUGCAUAGCCGACCGGAGAGGGGGUCGGGCCACAUGGGAACGGGACCACGGUCCAGACCCCUAGGGGAGGAAGAAGAAGGGAAUCUUCGGCAAUGGGCGAAAGCCGGACGGAGAAACGCCGCGUGAGUGAUGAAGUUCUUCGGAUCUUAAAACUCUUUUAUUAGGGAAGAACAUAUGUGUAAGUAACUGUGCACAUCGUGACGGUACCUAAUCAGAAAGCCACGGCUAACUACGUG
rnacentral:rRNA from 1 species